rnacentral:piRNA from 1 species
UACUGCUGAUGUUUCUUUUUGGUAAAC